CGGAGGAUCCAAGCGUUAUCCGGAUUUAUUGGGUUUAAAGGGUGCGUAGGCGGCUUGUUAAGUCAGGGGUGAAAGACGAUGGCUCAACCAUCGCAGUGCCUUUGAUACUGGCGAGCUUGAAUGUACUUGAGGUAGGCGGAAUGUGACAAGUAGCGGUGAAAUGCAUAGAUAUGUCACAGAACACCGAUUGCGAAGGCAGCUUACUAAAGUAUGAUUGACGCUGAGGCACGAAAGCGUGGGAUCAAACAGGAUU
rnacentral:rRNA from 1 species